rnacentral:rRNA from 1 species
CGAGAAAGUAUCUUCGGAUGCGAGUACAGUGGCGGACGGGUGAGUAAUACAUAGGAAUCUACCCAAUGGAGGGGGAUAGCUCGAGGAAACUCGAAUUAAUACCGCAUAAUCUCCACGGAGUAAAGAGGGCUUCGGCUCUCGCCAUCGGAUGAGCCUAUGCAAGAUUAGCUUGUUGGUAAGGUAAUGGCUUACCAAGGCUACGAUCUUUAGCUGGUUUGAGAGGACGACCAGCCACAUCGGGACUGAGACACGGCCCGGACUUCUACGGAAGGCAGCAGUAGGGAAUAUUGGACAAUGAGCGAAAGCUUGAUCCAGCCAUGCCGCGUGUGCGAUGAAGACCUUAGGGUUGUAAAGCACUUUAGGUUAUGAGAAAAGAUUUGGUAUUAAUACCACCAAAUUUUGAUGUUAAUU